UAUUUAGAGGAAGUAAAAGUCGUAACAAGGUCUCCGUAGGUGAACCUGCGGAGGGAUCAUUACAAGUGACCCCGGUCUAACCACCGGGAUGUUCAUAACCCUUUGUUGUCCGACUCUGUUGCCUCCGGGGCGACCCUGCCUUCGGGCGGGGGCUCCGGGUGGACACUUCAAACUCUUGCGUAACUUUGCAGUCUGAGUAAACUUAAUUAAUAAAUUAAAACUUUUAACAACGGAUCUCUUGGUUCUGGCAUCGAUGAAGAACGCAGCGAAAUGCGAUAAGUAAUGUGAAUUGCAGAAUUCAGUGAAUCAUCGAAUCUUUGAACGCACAUUGCGCCCCCUGGUAUUCCGGGGGGCAUGCCUGUUCGAGCGUCAUUUCACCACUCAAGCCUCGCUUGGUAUUGGGCAACGCGGUCCGCCGCGUGCCUCAAAUCGACCGGCUGGGUCUUCUGUCCCCUAAGCGUUGUGGAAACUAUUCGCUAAAGGGUGUUCGGGAGGCUACGCCGUAAAACAACCCCAUUUCUAAGGUUGACCUCGGAUCAGGUAGGGAUACCCGCUGAACUUAAGCAUAUCAAUAAGCGGAGGAA
rnacentral:rRNA from 1 species